AUACGGAGGGUGCAAGCGUUAUUCGGAAUCACUGGGCGUAAAGGACGCGUAGGCGGGUUGGCAAGUCAGAUGUGAAAUCCUACAGCUUAACUGUAGAACUGCAUUUGAAACUGGUAACCUAGAGUAUGGGAGGGGGAGAUGGAAUUAGUGGUGUAGGGGUAAAAUCCGUAGAUAUCACUAGGAAUACCUAAAGCGAAGGCGAUCUCCUGGAACAAUACUGACGCUAAGGCGUGAAAGCGUGGGGAGCAAACGGGAUUAGAAACCCCAGUAGUCC
rnacentral:rRNA from 1 species